rnacentral:rRNA from 1 species
CUCCAGUGUUUGGAAAAAAAGCUAUCCUCGAGAGUUUUUUCUAUUACGACAAUAGGGAUGCCAUUGAUUAAGGAAAUUAGUUUUACAAAACCUAGUUAUGAACGAAUCAAAANUUGAAAAUUUCCUUCGAAAAAAACAAGGAGUCAGCGGGGUUGAUUUUAAAGAUUAUCGACUAAAAGACCAUAGUAAUUAACAAAUCAGAUGAUCAAAGAAAUUUCGAGCUAUCCCAGAAGAACAGAAAAUUAAAUUAUAUCCGAAGAAGUGGAUAUUUAUUUUAAGACA